rnacentral:rRNA from 1 species
AUUGAACGCUGGCGGCAGGCCUAACACAUGCAAGUCGAACGAGUGGCGGACGGGUGAGUAAUUUCUGGGAAACUGCCUGAUGGAUGGGGAUAACUCCUUGAAACGGUAGCUAAUACCGCAUACCAUCGGAUGUGCCCAGGUGGGAUUAGCUAGUGGGUGGGGUAAAGGCUCACCUAGGCGCCGAUCCCUAGCUGGUCUGAGAGGAUGACCAGCCACACUGGAACUGAGCCACGGUCCAGACUCCUACGGGAGGCAGAAGGGGGGAAUAUUGCACAAGGGGCGCAAGCCUGAUGCAGCAAUGCCGCGUGUAUGAAGAAGGUCUUCGGGUUGUAAAGUACUUUCAGCGGGGAGGCGUUACCCGCAGAAGAAGCACCGGCUAACUCCGUGCCAGCCGCCGCGGUAAUUC